GGGAGCAGAUAGGUUCUGGUGUGCCUCCCGGUCUUCAAAACCGACGUAAGCGGCUAGUACCCGCUUUGGUGGGUUCGAUUCCCACAUGCUCCCGCCA
rnacentral:tRNA from 1 species